GCCAUGCCCUCUGGAUGAGAGUGAGGAAGAGGAACACAGAGAAAACAAGCAAGAAACCUAGUCCAGAGACUGAGUGAAAGUAAAAGAGACCCUGGUAAAAGGUCCUUGGGAAAGAUGCUGAGUCUGUAGGCUCUGUUGGAACAGCGUUAUGAGAACAGAGGAAGAAAGGUCAGGAUAUAUUAGUAGAGAGGAAAGGGGACAGAAUGACAAAGGGACUGAAGGCUAUGCAGAAGGUCAGUGGGGGAAUGCGCAGACUACAAAGACUAAAUAGAAAGAGGCAGAAAUAAGCUGAAAGGAAAGACAGAAGUUAGCUGGCAUUUGUCACUAUUGGUUCCCCUUUUGCCAGGCAAUUUGCAUCUGGUUUAUUUGGCGGGAACUAUUGCUCUCCUUUCUGCUAGCUUGGAGUCAGGAUGAGUGGCAAGGGCAGCAACUGUAUUUGAAGUCUUUGUGCUUUCAGAUUUAUUCCUACAUGGAACAGUCAAGGACCUACUAGGCUCCAGUAUCUUGGAAGAACUCAGUCCUCCCUGCCCAGUCUGGUUCUACAACCACCACCCCAACAUAUUGGCAGUAUAUAUCUUUUCAAUAGAUUUCAUAUUGACUAACCAAACUAGAAAAACGCUGAGUGAAUUGAAAUUGGAGCUCCGUAGCCGAGUUACUGGAAAGCAGGGUCCUAAUUUUCAAGGGCUUUGAAUGGUACGUUAUGGAAAGUUGGGCUUUUCUUCAAUGCAAGUGAAGGACUCAGAACAAUAGUGUAAAUGAAAUGGUUAAAUCAUUUAUGACAAAAUAUCUGGCCGUUCUGACUAAGCAGCUCAUAAGGAGCUGGAAUUCCCAUAUAAGUCAGUAUAUUAAAUAAGCAGCCUUCCAAAGCUGAGGGCAAGGUAGAUGCCUCCCUUUUUUCUGUUUCUGUUAAAGUAAAUAUAGGCUGUCCAAUGACUUCAUUCUGUUUAUUAAUGGAUCUUCGGUUCAUAGCACUAUCUAUUCUUUAUCUAUUAUUGAAGGUGAGGUAGUAAUCAUUACUUACAUUAAAAUGUUCAUGGAUAUAGACUAAGAGGGUGUAUAAUUUCUACAUGACUUUCACAUAAUCUGAAAUGUUCUGUGGGUAAGUAUUAAGGAAAAAUCUUUCUAGAACCAGUUAAGUGAAAGUAAACUUAAUCAUUCUGAAAAUACAUAUUGAGUAUGAUCCUUAGGGUCAACUUAACAAAGGAAUGAGUUCUGUAUUUUAAAGGGGGAAGAGAGGUGGUAAUAUGUUUAGCUUUUAACUUAAUCGCUCAUGGGUUGUUUGUGAUGGUAAUUAAUGAAGGGUGUUAUUCAGACACAUGUGACAAUGACUCAUUCCAUCAAAAGUUCCUCAAUGUUCUGCCUGCAGCAAAACAAUGGUGCACUGUGGUGUGGUUUGCAAUUAUUCUGACGAUUCUACUAUUUGUAUGCCAUUAUUAAAAUAUGUGCAGUCUCUUUAAAAAGGUGACUAUUACAUUAAUCUGACAAGACUAUGGUCCCCUGUGAAUACUGAGUACAGGCUGUGACCAUGUCUUUGUGCUUUCUUUGUGUUAGUUGGAGGGCCACGGAUAAAAAUGAGCACUUAGGGCCCUUAUGGCUUUAUUAGCUAUUAUACUCUGAGAACAACAACCCUGGAUGUUUUGAAAUUUACAGUUUCCUGGGGCCAUUUUCACAAACAGUUUUGACGUAGCACAGAAUACUUGAUCAACUGUCACCCAAGGCGAUUUGAAAGAAAUACAGGAAAGGGAAUGUCUAUUUGACUGUUGACACUGCAAGUUCUUUACAUUUUCCACAGU
rnacentral:lncRNA from 1 species